rnacentral:misc_RNA from 1 species
GAUGAAGAACGUAGCGAAAUGCGAUAAGUAGUGUGAAUUGCAGAACUCAGUGAAUCAUCGAAUCUUUGAACGCACAUUGCGCCCCUUGGUAUUCCAUGGGGCAUGCCUGUUCGAGCGUCAUUUGUACCCUCAAGCUUUGCUUGGUGUUGGGCGUCUUGUCGUAUUACGACUCGCCUUAAAUACAUUGGCAGCCGGCACUUUGGCCUAGGAGCGCAGCACAUUUUGCGAUCGUAGCCCGUUGUACUGGCGUCCAUCAAGAACAUUUACCACGUUUGACCUCGGAUCAGGUAGGGAUACCCGCUGAACUUAAGCAUAUCAAAAGCGGAGGA